rnacentral:rRNA from 1 species
AUGAGAGGAGGAAUGGGUUUUCGUGAUCUUCAAAUGUUUAAUAUUGCUCUCCUUGGAAAACACGGAUGGAGGUUACUGGCAGAACCAGAUUCCCUUUGUGCUCGAGUCUUAAAGGAAAGAUAUUUCCCCAAUUGUGAUUUCAUGCAUGCCACUGUGCCAAAGAACUCAUCAGCUACUUGGCGGGCAAUUGUGGAAGGGAGGAAAGCACUGCAUACAAGCCUAAUUAAGCGGAUAGGGGAUGGCACAACUGUGUCAAUUUGGAAUGACAAGUGGAUCCCUAAUACUUUGAAAAUGACCCCAGUCGCUAGGCUGGGUGAUGCUCAGAUUUCUCUAGUCUCCGAUCUUAUUGACAGUGAGAACUGGACUUGGAAAAGUGAUCUGGUAAAAGCUUCUUUUAUACCUCCUGACGCUGAUGCAAUUCUUAAUAUUCCCUUGCGCAUGGGAGGGGGAGAUUAUCUAUUGGCCUGGGAAGGCGAGCGGACUGGGACUUACACUGUAAGGUCGGCGUAUCGAUCUCUAGUGAUUCAAAACAAGCAACGUGCUCUAGAAGAAGGGACGAUAACAUAA